rnacentral:rRNA from 1 species
GGGGAAUAUUGGGCAAUGGGGGAAACCCUGACCCAGCAACGCCGCGUGAAGGAAGAAGGCCUUCGGGUUGUAAACUUCUUUGACAGGGGACGAAACAAAUGACGGUACCCUGAAAACAAGCCACGGCUAACUACGUGCCAGCAGCCGCGGUAAUACGUAGGUGGCGAGCGUUAUCCGGAAUUACUGGGUGUAAAGGGCGCGUAGGCGGGGAUGCAAGUCAGGUGUGAAAUCUAUGGGCUUAACCCAUAAACUGCACUUGAAACUGUGUCUCUUGAGUGAUGGAGAGGUAAGUGGAAUUCCUAGUGUAGCGGUGGAAUGCGUAGAUAUUAGGAGGAACACCAGUGGCGAAGGCGACUUACUGGACAUUAACUGACGCUGAGGCGCGAAAGCGUGGGGAGCAAAC